rnacentral:rRNA from 1 species
UAGGGAAUCUUCCACAAUGGACGCAAGUCUGAUGGAGCAACGCCGCGUGAGUGAAGAAGGUUUUCGGACCGUAAAGCUCUGUUGUUGGUGAAGAAGGAUAGAGGUAGUAACUGGCCUUUAUUUGACGGUAAUCAACCAGAAAGUCACGGCUAACUACGUGCCAGCAGCCGCGGUAAUACGUAGGUGGCAAGCGUUGUCCGGAUUUAUUGGGCGUAAAGCGAGCGCAGGCGGAAGAAUAAGUCUGAUGUGAAAGGCCCUCGGCUUAACCGAGGAAUUGCAUCGGAAACUGUUUUCUUGAGUGCAGAAGAGGAGAGUAGAACUCCAUGUGUAGCGGUGGAAUGCGUAGAUAUAUGGAAGAAUACCAGUGGCGAAGGCGGCUCUCUGGUCUGCAACUGACGCUGAGGCUCGAAAGCAUGGGUAGCGAACAGGAUUAGAUACCCUGGUAGUCCAUGCCGUAAACGAUGAGUGCUAAGUGUUGGGAGGCUUCCGCCUCUCAGUGCUGCAGCUAACGCAUUAAGCACUCCGCCUGGGGGAGUACGACCGCAAGGUUGAAAC